UGCAAAUGAUGUUUUUCUCACGAUGGUCUUCCAAGCCCCCUGGGCUCUGACGACACUGCCUAAAGGCAACACUGAUGUAGUAAA